rnacentral:rRNA from 1 species
GUAUGGCUGUUCGCCAUUUAAAGUGGUACGCGAGCUGGGUUUAGAACGUCGUGAGACAGUUCGGUCCCUAUCUGCCGUGGGCGCUGGAGAACUGAGGGGGGCUGCUCCUAGUACGAGAGGACCGGAGUGGACGCAUCACUGGUGUUCGGGUUGUCAUGCCAAUGGCACUGCCCGGUAGCUAAAUGCGGAAGAGAUAAGUGCUGAAAGCAUCUAAGCACGAAACUUGCCCCGAGAUGAGUUCUCCCUGACUCCUUGAGAGUCCUGAAGGAACGUUGAAGACGACGACGUUGAUAGGCCGGGUGUGUAAGCGCAGCGAUGCGUUGAGCUAACCGGUACUAAUGAACCGUGAGGCUUAACCUUACAACGCCGAAGCUGUU